rnacentral:rRNA from 1 species
CCUACGGGUGGCAGCAGUGAGGAAUAUUGGUCAAUGGGCGAGAGCCUGAACCAGCCAAGUCGCGUGAGGGAGUACUGCCCUAUGGGUUGUAAACCUCUUUUGUCGGGGAGCAAAAGCCGGACGUGUCCGGCUGUGAGAGUACCCGAAGAAAAAGCAUCGGCUCACUCCGUGCCAGCAGCCGCGGUAAUAGGGGGGAUGCGAGCGUUUUCCGGAUUUAUUGGGUUAAAAGGGUGCGCAGGGGGAUUUUUAAGGCAGCGGGCAAAUCGGGGGGCUGAACCCCAUCCAGCCGUUGAACCUGGGGAUCUAGAGUGUGCGAGAGGUAUGCGGAAGGCGUGGUGUAGCGGUGAAAUGCAUAGAUAUCACGCAGAACCCCGAUUGCGAAGGCAGCAUACCGGUGCACAACUGACGCUCAGGCACGAAAGCGUGGGUAUCGAACAGGAUUAGAUACCCGAGUAGUC